rnacentral:sRNA from 1 species
UUACAGCUGUGGAUCUCAAGCCAAGUGGUGAAGAUGAGGUAAAAAGUUUGCUUUUAAUAUAGUUGUAAGUUCUGAAAUAUCCUCUUAGCAAGGCCAGUUGUACUAGACACUCCUGAAAUAUUCCUAGAUACUGACAAAUUUUCUUUUGCAGAUGAUAACAAUGGAUAAUGCAGAAGAAUAUGUGGAUUUGAUGUUUGACUUUUGUAUGCAUACGGGUAUUCAGAAACAAAUGGAAGCCUUUAGAGAUGGGUUUAAUAAAGUUUUUCCAAUGGAGAAAUUAAGUUCCUUCAGCCAUGAAGAAGUCCAAAUGAUUCUUUGUGGAAACCAGUCACCAUCCUGGGCAGCAGAGGAUAUUAUCAAUUACACUGAACCGAAGCUGGGUUAUACACGUGACAGGUAUGUGAUACUAUUUUCUAAGAUCAACAAAAUUAUUUAUAUUCCCCAAAUCAAAUGACAGAUUCUCUAAAGAACUUUAAUUCAGUGAGUAUCAUAAAGUAAGUGAGAAAGCAGUGGUGUCUCACAGU